rnacentral:rRNA from 1 species
AGAGUUUGAUCAUGGCUCAGGAUGAACGCUAGCGGCAGGCUUAAUACAUGCAAGUUGAACGGGAUUCAUGGAGUAGCAAUACGAAGUGAUGAGAGUAGCGCACGGGUGCGUAACACGUAUGCAACCUACCUUUAACCGGGACAUAACCUCUAGAAAUGGAAGCUAAUAUCCCAUGUGAUUAUUGAAUGGCAUCAUUUGGUAAUUAAAAUUGAGAUGGUUAAAGAUGGGCAUGCGUCCCAUUAGCUAGUUGGUAAGGUAACGGCUUACCAAGGCGACGAUGGGUAGGGGUUCUGAGAGGAUGAUCCCCCACACUGGUACUGAGACACGGACCAGACUCCUACGGGAGGCAGCAGUAAGGAAUAUUGGUCAAUGGACGCAAGUCUGAACCAGCCAUGCCGCGUGCAGGAAGACGGCCCUAUGGGUUGUAAACUGCUUUUGUACGGGAAGAACUGUAUCUACGUGUAGAUACCUGACGGUACCGUAAGAAUAAGGAUCGGCUAACUCCGUGCCAGCAGCCGCGGUAAUACGGAGGAUCCGAGCGUUAUCCGGAUUUAUUGGGUUUAAAGGGUGCGCAGGCGGGUAUAUAAGUCAGAGGUGAAAUUCCACGGCUCAACUGUGGGACUGCCUUUGAUACUGUAUGUCUAGAGUAUAGUUGGAGUGGGCGGAAUGUAGCAUGUAGCGGUGAAAUGCUUAGAUAUGCUACAGAACACCGAUCGUGAAGACAGCUCACUAAGCUAUAACUGACGCUCAGGCACGAAAGCAUGGGGAGCAAACAGGAUUAGAUACCCUGGUAG